AUGUGUGUGGUUUUUGUUUUUGAAAAGAGUAUUGUUGUUUUUCUUGAAGUUCUUCACAACGAAUACGGAAAAAACAAGGGAACACGAAAUCACACCCCAAAACAGUCCACAAAUCAUAACAAAUCGUGGACCAAGUGGGGACCUCUCUUGGAUUCACUAUAUAGAACAAGAAAGAAGAGGAUACAAGGUGUAAUACACCAAAACAGCUAUCCAACAAUAAGUUUAGCAACACAAGAUGAAGCUCCAUAAUAUUACAACAGCAACAAAAACAAAUGGGUUACAUUUAACAACACAAGAAGCCGAAACUAAAAUAAGAUACAAGAUAGAUAGUUAGACAAGUGUUGAUGUAGUCUUAACAACCCAAGAUAAUAUUCCACUCUUGGACCUUUAAAACUUCACACAACAAACACCUAACUCUUACAAUUGACACAAGAGAGGCGUCCACCACCCAAGCACCAAUGUAUCAAGUAAAAUGCAACACAAGAGAAUCCACCCUUAUGUUAUACCCUAGUUUCGGUUGGACUCUCUUUCACUCUAAGAGAAGUAUUCUUCAAUAAUAAUGAUCAACUAAAGAAAUAAACCCUACAAUGUUCUAUUUAUACUACAUUACAAUAAUAGACAAAAUGACAAAAGGGCCUUUAGUGACUAGUUUUCAAAAAUACUCAAAGUGUCAUGAUCAUGAUCAUACUUGUAUCAACAACCUUCAUCUGUUGUUAAAAAAACUGAAAUGCAACACUAAAGAGACUUGGCCAUUGUUGGUGGUUUUGUAGUCUUGGCAGUGUGAAAACAUUGUUGUCUUGGAGUUGGCCGUGUGGUUGUAUUAUGGAUAUUGGUAAUUAUUUUCUAUUGUUCUUGGUGAUGUUGAAGUGUUCUUGAUGUUUUGUUAAAAUAAAGUGAAUGCUAGAUUUAUAAAG
rnacentral:lncRNA from 1 species